rnacentral:rRNA from 1 species
UCAAGAGUACGUGAAACUGCUUAGAGGUUAAGCCCGAUGAACCUGAAUAUCCGUUAUAGAAAAUUCAUCAUUAUGAUUUUAAUAUAUUUAAAAAUAUUAUAAUAAUGGUGUGCAUUUUUUUUAUAAAAGGACAUUGUAAUCUAUUAAUAUAAAUAAUAUUUAUCAUAAGAUCAAUUUGCGUUAGUUUAUUCAAAUUAUUUUGCUUGCAAUUUAAUAUCGAGUAAAUGCAUUUGAUUUGAUAAAGUGUUGAUAGAUUUAUUAUAUAUAGUGCUUAAAUAUAUUAUAUUUUAUAAUAGCAUAUAAAUCAUUGAUUUUUAUGUUUAUUAUAUGCACUUGUAUGAUUAACAAUGCGAAAGAUUCAGGAUACCUUCGGGACCCGUCUUGAAACACGGACCAAGGAGUCUAACAUAUUUGCAAGUUAUUGGGUAUAAAAACCUAAUAGCGAAAUUAACAUAACUUAUUUUAAUGGGAUUAGUUUUUAGCCUAUUUUUAAUAGUCUAUUAAUUCAAUCCCGGGGCGUUCUAUACAGUUAUGUAUAAUAAUAUUUAUAUUAUUUAUGCCACUAACUAGAGCGUACCUUGAGCAUAUAUGCUGUGACCCGA